rnacentral:lncRNA from 1 species
UGUUCUCUGCCAAAUGCAAGGUGAAUGUGUGCUAUCUACAAAAUAGUCAACAGUGGAGUGAGUAACAUAACAGGGGAUUUCAAGGAGAUGGAAGACAACACUAUUAUUUUCCUAAUGCUCAUAAUUCUGUUUCUGGCUAUGUAAUUUUGUCUUUAUAACACUACUCAAUUAAAUUUAUAUUUGGGCCAAAAAAUUAUCAUCUUGGCUGCCAUGUAGCACUCUUCAAAUCUCUUAAAAUCACUUGCUUAAGUUUGCUUUUUCUGAAAAGCACUUACCCACCUCUCUGGGGUGUUUUUUUUAUGAAUUAGGAAUCCUGGAGCCCUCAGAGUCUAAGCAUGGUUGGCAGGUUGGAAGCAAAUAAGCACGAUGGAAAUGGGCCCUACUUAGUUACUAUGGAUACCUCAGAUAUAAAGGAUCCCUAUUUGUAGUGCUCAUCAACAACUACUAGCACAAAAUCCCUCAUGCUGCUUGGACCUAAAUAAGGUCAUAAAUGUUUACUGCACAUACAUAAUAUUCAUGGAACCCUUCUAAGAUUGCAGAGCCACAGUGCGGGAAAUGAUAUUUCUUUCCUUUGGUGGAUUUUCAUAUCCCAUUUUCCAUCUGGAGAAAUGAAGAUAUUGUUUUGCAAUUACCUUUACAGAACAGAGCAUUUUUGCUGGACUACUAAAAUCGCUUAGCCAAAGUUGGGCAUAAAUGCAAUUCCUGUGCCAAGCCAAAUUACCUGGAAACAUCACACCCUUCAAAAGAGUCUCGCUUUGUUGCCCAGGCAGUGGCAUGAUCUUGGCUCACUCCAAACUCCGCCUCCUGAGUUCAAGCUGCUCGCUGGAAUUACAGGUGCCCGCCACCACAGCUGUCUAAUUUCUUGGUUUUUGUUUUUGUUUUUGAGAUGGAGUUUCGCUCUUGUCACCCAGGCUGGAGUGCCAUGGUGCAAUCUCAGCUCACUGCAACCUCUGCCUCCCAGGUUCAAGUGAUUCUCCGGCUUCAGCCUCCCAAGUAGCUAGGAUUACAGGCAUGCGCCACCACACCCGGCUAAUUUUUUGUAUUUUUAGUAGAGAUGGGGUUUCACCUUGUUGGCCAGGCUGGUCUCGAACUCCUGACCUCAAGUGAUUGACCUGCCUCGGCCUCCGAAAGUGCUGGAAUUACAGGCCUGAGCCACUGUGCCAGGCCAAAAUAAUGGUAUUUUGAGCAUUUACUAGGUACUGGAUACUUUAGCUGAAACUACAAUGGAGAUAUUACCAGCCUCAUUUCACAAAAGAAGAAAUUUAGUCUCAGAGAGGUAACAAAGGCCUAAGGUUAGUAAGUGAUAAGGUUCAGACUCAAAUGCAGAUAUGUUAAGACCCAAAGUACGUACACUUUACAGUACCCCAAGUAGGAAGAUAUAUUUUGAAGAGGAACAUAGCAGAUGUUCUCUGUCACCAUUAAGAACAAGACAAGAGGAAAUGGACUAAGAACCGUAAAAGGAGAAAUUCUAGGUUGAAUACAUGAAGACCCUCCUGUCACAGGAAAGACGAUUAAACUUGUACACCACUGUCAAGGAUGCUCAUGAAAUCUCCUUUCUAAAUUGCUUUUUUCAUACACAUAAGGAUGUUUUUCUACCAAAGAUAACUUCAAGACUGCAAGUGAAUUAAUCUAAACAUUUUCUUGGACACAAAAAUAUCUCAGACUCAAAAAUAAAAAAAUAAAUAAAAGCACAGGAUAAAACACCCAAAUUUUCAUACAAAUUGGGAAAUUUUGUGUUUGCCUUAUGGAUAUAAAA